rnacentral:misc_RNA from 1 species
AAAGUCGUAACAAGGUCUCCGUUGGUGAACCAGCGGAGGGAUCAUUAGCGAGUUAUAAACUCCCAACCCUCGUGGACACACCUAUCGUUGCUUCGGCGGGGCGCUUCGGCGCACACCUUCGGGGGACCCGCCGGCGGCACGCAAACCAAACUUUAUCUUCUGGCGUAUUCUGAGUAAACUACAAAUAAGUUAAAACUUUCAGCAACGGAUCUCUUGGUUCUG